AUGACAGUUGGUGAGUUAGUUAUAGAUUGUUUGGGUGGAGGUUGUCAUGUCAUGAUGAAGGUGAUAUUGCAGGCCUGGUGCAUAAUUAACGGUUGGUUAAUACAAGAAGCCAUCCCAGGGCAGCGAUGCGUAUUAAUUCCUUUAUGUUAUGCAGGUCUGAGCAUGGUGCACGAGAUGCUUAUGGCUUACAGGCAGGUCCAUCUGUUAGUUGACCCUCAGAGCUUUAAGUAG